rnacentral:rRNA from 1 species
UACAGAGGUGCCAAGCGUUAGGCGGAAUCACUGGGCUUAAAGCGCGCGUAGGCGGAUGUUUUAAGUGUCUUGUGAAAUCCCACGGCUCAACCGUGGAACUGCUGGGCAUACUGGACAUCUCGAGGCACUCAGGGGCGAGCGGAACAAGUGGUGGAGCGGUGAAAUGCGUAGAUAUCACUUGGAACGCCAAUGGUGAAGACAGCUCGCUGGGGGUGUCCUGACGCUGAGGCGCGAAAGCCAGGGGAGCGAACGGG